CUCCACAUAUUAGUUCUAAUUCAUGUUAGUUCUAAUUUAUACCAGGAGAUAUAAUGUUAUAGUAACAACCAACAGCACUAUUAACAGGGAAGAGUUGUUAUAUGUGCUUCGUGGUGGCCGCCUUGACGACAAGGUGGAAGAAGCAGUUUUGGACACGAUUAGCCAGGAGGCAUACGGCAAAGGAUAUGGAGUGGUAUCGGUGUUCUUUCUUCACUCACUCUA